rnacentral:rRNA from 1 species
GACGAACGCUGGCGGCGUGCUUAACACAUGCAAGUCGAGCGGAAGGGCGUGCUGUUCGUUUUUGUUUGGUUAUCGUCGGAUGGGUGAGUGACGAGUAGCUAACGUGUCUUUUGCACCGGACUUGCGUCUGAAACCGGGAGCUAAUGCCUGAUAAUCUUUUGAACUGCAUGGUUCAACCGUGGAUGGCAGUCUUUUUUUCAGUUAUUGGUGGUUCCGCGCUGGCUUAGCUAGUUGUUGAGGUAAUGGUUUACCACCGCAACGAUGGAUAGCCGACGUGAGAGGGUGAUCGGCCACAGUGGCACUGAGACACGGACCAGACUCCGACGGGAGGCAGCAGCAGGGAAUGUGCCGCAAGGGGCGAAAGCGUGACGGAGCAGCGCCGAGUGAGUGAUGAAGGUCUUCGGAUCGUAAAACUCUGUUAUUAGGGAAGAACAGAUGUGUAAGUAACUGUGGACAUCGUGACGGUACCUAAACAGAAAGCCACGGCUAACUACGUG